UAUUCACAGGUGCAAUCAUAGUGCACUACAGCCUCAAACUCCUAGCCUCAAGCAAUCCUCAUGCCUCAGCCUCCAGAGUAGCUGGGCCUACAGGUACUUAACACCUCAUCUGGCAUCCCCCAGUCAGAUAUUUGGAUGAGACCCCUGCCUUGGCUAACACCUUGAUGAAAACCUGUGGAAGGUUCUAAGGCAGGACCCUCAGCGCAGCCACUUCUCCAGGCACUCGGCAGAGAGAACGCGCGUAGGCGUUGCCCUGGCAACGCCGGGAUGCCCAGCAACAAGUCCGCGGCGUGUAUCACGUGCUCGGCGCGGACCAAUCCGAGGGCCCGCCGGGAAGCAGGAGCAAUAGCAAAAAUUGGGAAUGGGAAGAAACAGGUACCAGCCAGGACACCUGAACGAACUUGGAGCUCAGGAACCCAGGAGGGGAUUGGAGAGAGUGGGGAGACUCCAUGGUCCACAAUGAAUGCUCCUUCCCCAUCCGAAAAAAUCCCCUAGCCCAGUUUUUGGGCAGAUGCCAGACUUUUAUUCUGAAGCGUGGGCCACAACCUAUGAGGUAAUCUUUGGAGCUUCAUUCUGAGGCGGAAUCCCAUUGGCCAGUUGGGGAAGCCCCUCCCAGGAUUCCUGGCGCUCCGCCUUCCCUGAAGCCUAUAAAAGCGCAGGUCCCCGCCUCGGCAGCCACGGGACACCUGCAUCUGCCAACAAGACUGGAAGCAGAAAGGGACAGAGACGGCGAAGUUUGACGGUCUGGAAAGCAGAGACCAGCAGGGCUGACUGCUUGGGAGCACGAGGGACAGCUCUCCACCGACCGAAGGAGGAGAAUGCUAUUUAUUUCAGCACCAAAUAUCCGGACAGCGCCUCUCGGGAGGUCCGAGAAGAGAACCGCGAUCUGUUUCAGCACCGGGGCUCAGGACAGUUCCCAGCGGGCUCCGUUUCGUCUCCAGAACCCUGGACAGCUCCUCCAGCUUGGAAUGCACUCCCUCCACCUCCAACCAGAGCUCCCCACAACUGACCCUGCCUUCUUCUGCAAGCUCCAUUUCAUCAAGGGAAACGAUCCUUAUUGCCUCACCAUUUCCCACGUGAAGUCUGUAUUGACAUUCUCAUAGACCUGGGAUAUUGUGUCUGCAGCACAUAGUCCAAUUAUUUUCAUGUUAUCUACUGACAGGUCUAUUUGUCUCCCUGUUACACUGUGAGCUCCGUGAGGGCAGAAACAAUGUUAGUAUUUUCACUGCUGUGUCCCCAGCGCCUGGUCCGGGGCCCGGCACACAGCAGGCAUAUAAUAAGCAUGUGUUGAAUCAAUAAAGGCAUCAAAGAAUAAACCAAUACAUCAAUCAAUAAAUGAAUGAAUGGCCUCAGCACACACAGGAAGAUCCUUCUUCUAGGUCUCCCCCAGAGAGAUACUGGAGGGCAAUGGUUGCUGGAGGUGUUUAUUGGGGAAGCAUAAUUGAAUUUGUGGACACUUAAGGGCCGGCCAGCCAACUCACAGCCCCAAGAGAGAGAGCCAGGCUCAUUUAAUUAGCAAUUACAAGGCACUGAUUCCUCAUUAGCUCUGGCAACCCUCGUCUCCCUCCUCAGCCCCAGACAAAUGAAAUCUUUCUCUCUCUCCCAGGAGUACUGCCUCAGUGGGUCCAUUAACAAGCAGAGAAAAUGAGAUUAGAAGACACCUAAAUGCCAGAGGCACUUUAUGAAUGGGCUGAGCAGAGGGAGGUUCAAUGUCUGGGUUAGGUCUAAUUGUGGGAGGUUUCCUGGUCUAUUUAGAAUUGCCCCCUGGGAAUGCAAGGUCUUUCAGAAAGGAAAAGGCACACAGAUAUUGCCUUCUGGGGUCCUCAAUGGAGGAGGACAUUCUGCUAUGGGUGUCUCCCAGUCACCCCAAAUUAAUCAUUUCAAAGUGAACACUCAAUCUGCCCAGCCCCUAGCUUCCUCCCCUGACAUGCCCAUGAAUAUGACAGUCCCUCUACAUGCCCAAGAUCCUCCCCUCCUCAUCCACUCCCCAUGAUCCCCAAGAUGAGUCACUGUGCUCAAAUCCAUCCUCUCUCCUCCAGCCCUCUGCCUCCAUGACCUCCCUCCAGCCCUCUGCCUCCAUGACCUCCGCCUCCCUGCAUGUCCGGAUCUCCUCACUGUCUCCCCUCUGAGCAUACACACACAUACAGCCUGUUCAUUCUCUACAUGCAGCGAGGGGACUUUCCAGAACACACAUCUGACCAAGUUCCACUCCUGCCUGUCACCCUUCCAAGAGCCCCACUGACUGCAGAAUAACGUUCAAAUAUCCGGUUGGGCGUGGUGGCUCAUGCCUGCAGUCCCAGCACUUUGGGAGGCCAAGGUGGGUGGAUCACUUGCACAGGACCACAGGCGUGUGCCACCACACCCAGCUAAUUUUUAUAUUUUUGGUAGAGACGGAGUUUCACCAUGUUGGCCAGGCUGACCUCAAGUGAUCCACCCGCCUCAACCUCCCAAAGUGCUGGGAUUACAGGCAUGAGUCACUGCACCGGUCUAAUUUUUUCAGAGUCUCACUCUUGCCCAGGCUGGAGUGCAGUAGCAUGAUCUCGGUUCACUGCAACCUCUGCCUCCUGGUUUCAAGCGAUUCUCUUGGCUCAGCCUCCUGAGCAGCUGGGAUUACAGGCACGUGCCACCACACUUAGCUAAUUUUUGUAUUUUUAGUAGAGAUGGGGGUCUCACCAUGCUGGCACAGUUGGUCUUGAACUCCUGACCUCAAGUGAUCCACCCACCUCGGCUUCCCAAAGUGCUGGGAUUACAGACGUGAGCCACCGCGCCCGGCCAGCCUUUAUUGAUUCUUUUUAAAGCCACACUAACCUUUUAUUUUCCCCCAAAGACCCCUGGGAGCCCUCAGUUUUUCCUGGCAGUUUCAUCUUUGUACCCCUGACCUCCCCACACACACGCCUAGCUCAGUGCUGGCAUCCAAUAUUCACUUUGGGUAUAAAUGCUUGUGCCUGAGCCUAUCACCUUCAUCACACAGAAAAUCCUGGAGGCCACACACCCCUGUAAAGACGAGCCAUUACCCACAGAGGUCCAACCAACUUACCACCCUCUCCCAGCCACCCCCAAGGACCCAGCUUGCAGCUGCCUGCUCAAUGGCUUUAGAAACUAAAAAAGGUGAAUGAGUUUCCAUCACUGCCCUCCUGGGCUUUGCCGUUAUGGCUGGUUAACUUGACAGAAGAACACAUUAUACUUCAUUUUUUGCUGUUGUCUUGUUGGAAAAAAAAGUGACAGCUGGGUGCAGUGGUGCACACUGUAGUCACAGCUACUCAGGAGAAUUGCUUGAGCACAGGAAUUGGAGGCUACACUGAGCAAUGAUCGCCUCACUGCACUCCAGCCUGAACGACAGAGCAAGACCCUCUUAAAAAAUACGUGAGAGAGGGUGCGUAUGAUGGCUCAUGCCUGUAAUCCCAGCAGUUUG
rnacentral:lncRNA from 1 species